GAGUAUGGAUCACCGAGCUAUUGGCCAUCAUCCUCACAAGCCAUCCGCCAACAUGAGCCACAGACAAAGUUAUAUGAAGAUGAGUCCGAUAGUGAUGACUUGAGCUUCGGUCAUGAGGUCGUGAGAAAUCGAUCUCCGAAGUAGUUGGUGCUUACUUCCGAAGUAGCGGGUCUAAGGGAUUCCUUUGACUCCCUCGAAGCCAAACUUCAACUCAUUGAAGAAUGGUAUGCUCGGGAAGCGGCAUCCAAGCGCCAACACCGUACAUCAUCACCACCGGAUCAACAAAUCAGUCCGGAAGAAGUCAUUGGUUUAGGAGGAACCAAAGACAAC
rnacentral:lncRNA from 1 species